rnacentral:misc_RNA from 1 species
AAGUCGUAACAAGGUUUCCGUAGGUGAACCUGCGGAAGGAUCAUUAACACUAUCGUUAAUCAUCAAACCAAAUGUGAACCGAAAGACCCUGUAUCUUUGUUGUUUCUAUUGAAUCAGCACUGGUGCAGACAAUACCCCACUAGUAGUUAUUACCGACUUCUAGGUAACUUCGGUUGCCCAUUAGUCGAUAAUAAUGAACUAUUCACCAAUUUAACCCUAUAACUAAAAAUUGUCUAAUCUUCAUAAACUUAUUUACUGCUUCGGUAGUUGUAAGCUUUACGAAAUCUUGAACAACUCUUAGCAAUGGAUAUCUUGGGUCAU